rnacentral:rRNA from 1 species
GAUGAACGCUGGCGGCGUGCCUAAUACAUGCAAGUCGAGCGAACGGACGAGAAGCUUGCUUUUCUGAUGUUAGCGGCGGACGGGUGAGUAACACGUGGAUAACCUACCUAUAAGACUGGGAUAACUUCGGGAAACCGGAGCUAAUACCGGAUAAUAUUUUGAACCGCAUGGUUCAAAAGUGAAAGACGGUCUUGCUGUCACUUAUAGAUGGAUCCGCGCUGCAUUAGCUAGUUGGUAAGGUAACGGCUUACCAAGGCAACGAUGCAUAGCCGACCUGAGAGGGUGAUCGGCCACACUGGAACUGAGACACGGUCCAGACUCCUACGGGAGGCAGCAGUAGGGAAUCUUCCGCAAUGGGCGAAAGCCUGACGGAGCAACGCCGCGUGAGUGAUGAAGGUCUUCGGAUCGUAAAACUCUGUUAUUAGGGAAGAACAUAUGUGUAAGUAACUGUACACAUCUUGACGGUACCUAAUCAGAAAGCCACGGCUAACUACGU